UCUGGAGAGCAGACACUGAUUCUGUAAACUUGGGCUUGAAUGAUGUCCACAGCAGAACAAAUUACAGCAAGACCUGAGUGUCCCUAUAGUCUGAUCCCAUUUUAAAUACCCAACCUUAGGAAUGGUCCUUCCCCCUCCCCCAUUUACAGGCGUUCCUAGCAGGCCACAGCUUCUUGGCGACAGUCACGUCUGUUGGGUUCACAUUCUCUGUGUUAUUCCCCACAAGCAUGUAUUUUUAUGAUCUUUAUCCUAUUUUGCUCUACUUUUCCUUUCUCUUUUUAAGACAUCAGCAUUGGCCACCCAGGACUUAAGAGGAAUUUUCAUAUAAAGCACAGUCUGUGAUGGGAACAACUUGCACAGGAGCUUUGGGAACUGUGAACCUCUGUGUGAACGUGACACAGGGAGAGGGGACAUUAGAUAUGCUAAUAUUUGAGUAGCCUUCUGGCCUCUAAUUGUUCACCAGCCUCAAUCAAUAAGAUUUUUGUAGGUCGUAGGUAUGUGCAGUUGCACCCCGUGUAGGGUUCCUGUCCUUUUGACGUUAGGCUGGGUGUUCCCCUGUCUAUUGAGCAAGUUCCUAAGGUCUUGAGAGUGAGGGCAGAGGGAUGCCUGUUGUAUAGCAUCGUUGGUUUGCGUUAAAUUCUUCAGUUCAGUUAUUGAUGCUGUUUUUAUUCAUCCUCAAUUUGAAGAUUAUAUUCAUGCCAUGCAAGUGGUUUCCAUAUUCUUCUUUUUAAAAUAUCAAUACAGUAAAAUUAUAAAAACAUACCACAUUCAUGAAAGUUUCCUUCCAGAGUAUAGAUGCAGAUGGUAUUAUUAUUAUUAUUAUUAUUAUUAUUAUUAUUAUUAUUUUGCUUUUUAGGGCCUCACCUGCAGCAUCUGGAAGUUCCCAGGCUAAGGGUUGGCAGCUAUAGCUCCAAUUAGACCCCUAGCCUGGGAGCCUCCAUAUGUCACAGGUGUGGCCCUAAAAAAAAAAAAAGUGAAAAGAGGAAAAAAAAGAAAUUAAGGGCUUAGCGAUGCCAUGUAACAAAUUACGUGAACACAUUGGAUCUGUUUGUUUUUAUUCUUUGGUCUCAUUAAGUGGAAGCUUGUGUUUUUCUCCUCCUGCCAUCAUGAACCGCCCCCCCCAAUUCCCACCCAAGAUAGAAGCGCAUUAAUAGCCUGAAAAUAAAGGACAGGCUUUUUCUAAGCUCCUCUUUUAGCAAACUGUCUACUAGUCCCUUCAGAAAAUGAGCUCUGUCACAUUGAUGCUCUUUAAGAGAAAAGCAAUUUUUCUUACUCAAUUUGCCCAAUUGUCAAGAAAUUCUACUCUGCUAUAAGUGAUCAGGUUUGGUUAAAGUCGAGAGAAAUACAUACAAAAGGUCAUAUUUUACUCCUUUGUGGUUGGCUUUCAAAGGAUGCUUUGAUUCGAAAACCAAGCAGUCACUGUUAACAUGAUGAGGUCUUAAAACAAGUGUUUUUCUGCCCCCAUCACAGACAUAUCUGAAAAAGGCCCCUCUUCUCCCAAACCCCAGGGAUGACACUCAGAGGCUGUGUCUUCAGUGUCUCAGCGCCCAGGAGGGAAGAUCAUUUCCAUAUUUGAAAUUUAGGGGCAAGCGGAAAUAACUUUGUUUUUCUCAAAGGGUUAAUACUCUAAACAGCUUCAGAUUGGUUCACUCGCAUCUUAAAAUUACUUUUCUGGUCACGCGCACUGAAGGUCUAAGCAUUUGUGAAAUGUCUUUUUCUUUUUCUUCCUCCCGAUGCUGUGCUGUUCUCUUCUGGCUGUCUUAAUUACACAAGGGUUGAGAAACCAAAUUAAAAUUAGGCGUGGCUGGUAAACAGCGAUCACGUUGCCUGCUUUCAGCUUUGCUUGUUGGAGUUACUUCUCCUUGUAUCACUUUCCUUCCCACUUUUUUUUUUUCCAAAGGAAAUAUCAUGAGCUCUUUUAGAAAUACUCACAGGAAGUGAGUGUCCACACGCCGGUUAUUCACCAGCUGAGCGCUGACAGGUGGAGGUACUGCUGCUGCCCUCCCAGAUUUAUUUGAGCAUUUCCACCAGAGCAGGGGAGUACUCGGGGUAUACAGACCAAAGGGGUUUUGUGUACUGAGGGAGUUGUGAGAGGAAAUUGGUCAUCGCUCGUCAUCGUGGUGGACAGUGACUCAGGGAGCUGUGAUGAGGGGUCAGCAAGGCACGUGGCCGCCGUCUCUGAGGUCUCUGCUCCCUACUCAGGGGGCGGGCUGUCUUCUAAAAAUGAAUGCUCCCUCCACCGCCAGCAACGAUUCUUGUGCAGUGAAUCACUUCCAGAAAUGAAUAGCCACAGUUUUUUGGAAUGAAUGUUGUGAAAUCCCUCGUUUAUAAUGGCAGGUUUUCCGUUGGUGGUUUUUAUCAGAGAGAAUUUCUCAAGAUCAAAACGAAACCUCCUCUUUACAAAGAAAGAAAGUACUCUCGAUACAGAAAGCAAAAGUAUUUCCACUCUCCUCCUGACGAGCUGUCACAGAAGAUCUCUGUACCUGUGUUUAGAGAUCCACGUCCAUGUACUUGCCUGAACGCACGAGUCCUUGAAAUCACGAGUUCAUUGCCGUAACUGGUGGUCUCCUAUGCAGCAGGUUGCUAACUCCGAGCAGUGUUAUGUGCGGUGAGUAGGUGGUAGACUCCGAAGAUCAUUGCUAAUCCAGUGUUCGUCCUCUUGAGUCAUGGAUUCAGAGGACUGCCAGCAAGCUCUUAAAUACUUGCUGUGCCUUAUAUGAUUUAAUGCAUGGAGCUGCAAGACUCCCAGAAGCCUGUGAAAGGUUUUGCAGAGCGUGGAUUAAUUGAAUAAUCUUUUGAAUAUACUAGUCCUUGGGAGGAAGAAAGGAUGUCUUACAGAAGGAAGCAGUUUGUGGGUCUCUUAGAGCUACAGUUACUGCUCUCCUGUAUUUUAAGUGUCACUCUAUCCUCUUGUGUGAAAGAAAUAAAUGACUGCAUGGUUUAAUGGAGAAGAAGUUACGCCAGCUCUUUUGAAAUGAAGAGACCUUCACCCACGUGUUACUCCUCGCUGGACUGUCGUCCUCCUGCCUCUUCACACAGAGCAAGUUUCCACGAGCGAGGCUCCCCGUCUGGCAGCAUCAGUGAUGCGCCUCAUCCAGAACCCAGUGGGCCCGCCAUGGGUUACUGGCAGCACUUUUAUCGAGGGGCAAAGAGAGGAAAUCCAGUUCCUGGAAACAGGGAGUGCAGUUUCAGAAAUCCUUCUCCCUCCCGAGUGGAGAAGUUGUUUGACCUACUGACUCAUUUCAUAGGAAUUGGGAAAACAACCUAGUGUGGUUUUCAUUGUUCAUCCUGGAGGCUUCCAAAAUCUGCGUCUGUGCAAAUAAGAUGAGCUGGAGAAAGGUAGUGUUGCCACUUGCUGUUUCUACCUGCCUGGUCUCCCGAUGGGAUUCAGUCUCUUGCUUCCAGCGCAAGUCCAGCCUGUGCCUGGGGCUCCGUUGUGUGCCUGUCCAGUGGUGAGUACGGAUGACAGCAUUGUCUGAUUUUAUGAGUUCUUGCUUCUAAAUUUCUAAAUGGCAUUUCAUCGCAGGAAAAGCUUUAAAGAGCCUUUUUCCCCCGGCACAUUUAUAUUACAUUUUAUAUUGACCUGUAGAAAAUACUCUAGGUGUGGUGAUAAUUAUAAAAAGACCACAGAACCCGUAGACAACAAUGAAAGUUAAGAGUUAAGAGAUGUUUUGAAAAACAGAUUUUUUUUAGCGUAUUGACACGAGAGCAGUUUUGAUUUUGACACAUUUAUAUUAAGUGAUUUUUGGGGGUAGUGUUAUUUAUAACACAAGUAUGGAAGAUAAUAGUAUAUUUUAACAAAAUAAUAUAAUUACUACUAGUUAAUAAUGAAAGGCAUGUCUUUCUGGCUAGCAGCAUAAUGUUUACAUGCAGAGGAUCUUUUGAUUUAUGACAUUUUGGUUUUAAUCUACUGUUAUCAAAUAAGCUAAAAGUAUCCAAAGAAGACAGAGUAUAUUAACUUGGAUAAAAGUAGAAGCUGAGAGGUGCUUGAAGUGAUUAAUAUUUGAAGUGUUAGAUUAUGGCCUCCGUAUCAUUUCAUUUAUGCCAAGUCCCCCAGAUCAUACUCAAGAUAUGAUCUUCAGCAUUGCAGCUGAUGCUUAGUGUAUAAUUAUCAUAGAGUUUCUCAUUCUCUUCGGAGAUGGCCGAGGAGAACGUUGACUUGGUCACACUAGCGCUUUCUCUUCAGCAAACAGCGUUGCAUGUGAAACGCCUUAGAGGCGGAGUUCUUAACCUUUCCAGGGUGUGGGGCCCCUGUGAGGUUGCGAUGGACACUGGAAGUCGUCUCACUACAUGCACGCACAAGCAUUUGCCCGCAUUUUCAGGGCAUUUGCAGCUACAGUGAAGCACACCCGGGACCCCGGGCGCGGGUUGCCACCUGGCAUGAGACCACACUGUGAUCUUUCCAUCCCUUGGUUUCGCAGCAGACACUGGGAUCGAAAGGGGCGGCAGCCAAGUCGAAAAUAAGUCAUCCUCUGUGGUUGCUCAGUGGGGAUGCAAAGCCCAAGAAAAGGAGGAAGGGUGGAGAAAAUAUGUGACUAAUACUAAACAAACAAAGAGAAUCCUUAGUAUUAUCACAACCACCGAACAGCCCAGAAGCCCCAGACGUCUAACCUUGGGUGUUGGGAAAGUACAAGGUGAAUUCCAGUGGAUACUUCAAGAUUCAGUGUUAAACAACUGGAGAGAGUUUUCCUUCUAAGUAAUGAAGUCUCUUUUCUUUUUUUCCAUAUGUAUGUUACCAAAUUAGAUCAGACCACAAACCAUCUGAACCCCAGCAGUAUAAAUAAUAACCGUUGUAACAAACUGGAGAAAUGGUUCUACUUGAGCAGGAGAAAUUUGGGUGGGGAUAGAUAGAAGGUAGCUUAGCUGAGUACACAAAGACCUUAU
rnacentral:lncRNA from 1 species